GACGAACGCUGGCGGCGUGCUUAACACAUGCAAGUCGAACGGACAGGCCCUGCUUUUGUGGGGUGCUCGAGUGGCGAACGGGUGAGUAACACGUGAGUAACCUGCCCUUGACUUUGGGAUAACUUCAGGAAACUGGGGCUAAUACCGGAUAGGAGCUCCUGCUGCAUGGUGGGGGUUGGAAAGUUUCGGCGGUUGGGGAUGGACUCGCGGCUUAUCAGCUUGUUGGUGGGGUAGUGGCUUACCAAGGGUUUGACGGGUAGCCGGCCUGAGAGGGUGACCGGCCACAUUGGGACUGAGAUACGGCCCAGACGCCAACGGGAGGCAGCAGUGGGGAACAUUGCACAAUGGGCGGAAGCCUGAUGCAGCAACGCCGCGUGCGGGAUGACGGCCUUCGGGUUGUAAACCGCUGUCGCCUGUGACGAAGCGUGAGUGACGGUAAUGGGUAAAGAAGCACCGGCUAACUACGUG
rnacentral:rRNA from 1 species